CUUGUGAAUAUGAAGUUGUCAUUUUGACACCACUCUUGUGCAGCCAUCCUAAGUACAAGUUCAGAGCCUCUCCUGUGAAUGACAUAUUCUGUCAAUCACUGCCGGGAUCUCCAUUUAAACCCCUCACUCUAAGACAGUUGGAGCAACAGGAAGAGAUACUGAGGGUGCCAUUUAGGAGAAAUAAAGAGGAAGAUUUGUCAUCUGCUAAAGAAGAGAGAUUUCCAGCCAUUCACAAACCUAUUGCUGUUGGCUCUCAGCCAGUGCUCACUGUUGGAACAACCCACAUUUCCAAGCUGACAGAUGACCAGCUCAUAAAGGAGUUCCUAAGUGGUUCUUACUGCUUUCAUGGGGGUGUUGGUUGGUGGAAAUAUGAAUUCUGCUAUGGCAAGCAUGUACAUCAGUAUCAUGAGGAUGGUGUCACAUUUUUAUGGAAAUGGGGAUAUUUGUGAUAUAACUGACAAACCCAGACAGGUGACUGUAAAACUAAAGUGUAAAGAAUCAGAUUCUCCUCAUGCUGUUACUGUAUAUAUGCUUGAGCCUCACUCCUGCCAGUAUAUUCUUGGGGUUGAAUCUCCAGUAAUCUGUAAAAUUCUAGAUACAGCUGAUGAAAAUGGACUUCUUUCUCUCCCCAAUUAAAGGAUAUUAAACUUGAAGGAAAGAAAGAUGAUUGAAAAUCAUCACUUCCUCCUGACCACAUCUCAUUGUAGAGUCUCACCAUUGGACCUUGUCUAUAGCAUUCACAAAAAAGGACUGGCAACCACACUGUGAAAUUCAUGUGUAUAUAAGAGAUUAUGGAUAAACUUAUAAGGCAGAUCCUUGUCUCACUUCAUUCAUUUUGGUCUUGUAUGAACUGAUUGUGUUUGGCUUUGCUUGGGUAAUGUAAUUUCAAAACAAAUCUGGUCUAAGCACUUUAGUUCAGCCUAUCAAAUGUCAUAAUUCUUGUAGUUUUAAGUAUUUUAAAUAAUAUACUUACUGAAUAAAUUAUAGCAUAUAUGACAAGAUAAUGAGGUAAAGAUAAGGAAGAAAGAAGUUGAUUGGAGAUUGUGUAAAUGAGGGGCCACAUAAAAUUUAUAAAAUUUUAGUGUCUGAAAUCCUUUCAGCAAAUUUUUCUGUGGCAGCUGCUGUCUGUCAAACACUAACUAGAAAUGGGAACAGAGAAGAGCCUCAUAGAUAACCCCCUGUGACCAAUCAAGAAAUUCUUCUUUUCUUUUUAUGACAGGUUGCUCCUUUUCUUGAACUUUUAUGAUUCAUAUAAUGAGUGAGUUUACUACAGAGUCCAUGUCUAAUGCAGACAGUUGGUGACUCAUUUCUAAAUUAGAACAGUUCAUUCUAACUGUGCUAUCUCUCGUACCUGCCUACUGUAUAUUAUAAAUCUUAAUUCUGGAAAGCCUUCCAGCACAAUAUUUAUUUUUUUAAAGAUUUAUUUAUUUAAUAUAUAUAAGAACACUGUAGCUGUCUUCAGACGCACCAGAAGAGGGCAUCAGAUCUCAUUACAGAUGGUUGUGAGUCAUCAUGUAGUUACUGGGAUUUGAACUCAAGACCUCUGGAAGCUCUUAACCACUGAGCCAUCUCUCCAGCCCUACACAAUAUUUAUUUUAAAGAGAAUAAAAUGUUAAUAAGCAGUCUUUUCAUGUAA
rnacentral:lncRNA from 1 species